rnacentral:rRNA from 1 species
CCCUUAGAUGUUCUGGGCAGCACGCGCGCUACAAUGGUCUUCGCAAACGGAUGCAUUCUCGAAGGAGAAUGCCAAUCUUGGAAUCUAUGCCUUGGUCGGGACAGUUGCUUGCAAUUGUCGAUCUUGAACGAGGAAUUCCUAGUAAGCGCGAGUCAUCAGCUCGCGCUGAUUACGUCCCUGCCCUUUGUACACACCGCCCGUCGCUACUACCGAUUGGAUGGUUUAGCGAGAACCUUGGACCGGAGCUCGGGUGGUCAGCAAUGGCCGCCCGAGACAUACUGGGAAAUCGCUCCAGCUUGAUCAUCUAGAGGAAGUAAAAGUCGUAACA